UGAGUGUUUGAACUAUUCAAGUGGUAAUAUAGAGCUUUGAUUGGUUGUGCAUCUAGACAUAGAAAACAAAGAAAGUGUUUCACACACACAGGUGGCGAAGUUUGAGAUUUCCUACCGGAAGGUCGAAAACGUAUAUAUCUAAUAAAAUUAUAAAACCGGGGGUCGAAAACGUAUAUACCUAAAAAAUUCUAUACGAAAACUACACACCGGACACUAGUGAGCGAAAAGUUCGGAGGGUCGGGCGCCCCCCCCCCCCCGGCCCCUACAAAGUUGCGCACGUGCGCACACACACAUGUAUAUGGCAAGGAAGUUCUGAUACAAAGUGAGUUUUACCUAAGAAUGUAGAAAGUAAGGUGAGUGCGUCACGUGCAUUUAACUUUUAUAAAAAAAAUAUUAUUUUAAAUAAUAAAAACAUAUUCUGAUAUUAUACUCAUACUAACGAGAAUAAAGUUUGAAUAGAGGGUUGUAGUAAAUAAAAAAUUACAUGGAUUAAAACUGAUUUUUUUCUUCAAAGUACAUGGACAAAAGCCGUAAUUAAUUAUCAAGUUUAAAACUUUAAAUAUAUUGUGACUUCACGUUUUCGGUGUACAAAUAAAUUAUAUGUUCAUAUGUUAUAUUCCAAGAAAGGCUUUAAGAGUGUUAAACAGCGAAAUGAUCAUCUUGAUAGUUGAGGGCUGAAACUGUCAAACCGAAACUUAAGAGACUAAAAUUGCUCAUGCGCCAAACUACUGUACGGCCAUACAUGAUGAGUAGGUUGUGUAUUACCAGGGAUGACUAUGACUUUGUCACAACAAUGCCACAAAUCUCAACUAGAAACCCACUCUAUUAAGCAAUAAAUUGGAAAAGUCUCCAUAAUGAACUCACAUGUUGGGAUAUAACUAGUCUGAUGAUGAUCAGGGGCGGAUCUAGUAUAUCCUGAGGGGUAGCCUGUGCUACCCUUUAACUUUCUUCUUCCUUUUAAGAGUAAUUUUUUUUAUUUCUCCUUCCUUUUUUGUAUCGGCUACCCUAAAACAAAACUUUUUAAACCCACGCUACCUCUCAUCUUCUUUUCUAGAUCCGCCUCAAAUUUGAGUGAUUGAAUUAUAUAUUUCUAAACUUUAGCAACUCUAGUAGAAAUUUUUAACUUUGUCACAAAAGGGUUGUUUUGUUUUAUUAUUUCCAUUACGAAGAGAACCUGCAGAAAAUAAAGAAAGCAAGUUUCAAAUUGAUUCGUGAGGCUUGGGUUUUCGGAGCUGCAUUCAUGUCCGCAAGACGUGCGGGCCCGCACGUGUUCAACUAAAUUCCAGUUACGAAACUCAAAUUUUUGCACCCUUUGCGCGCACGGGAGUUCACACUAUCAUAGUCUUACUAGUAGAGACAAAGCAAAAAAGAAAGCGGCAACCAAAAAAAGGGGGCGUCGACAAAAAAUGAAUCUCCUGGUGAAUCGAAGGUGGAUAAGUUGAUGAGCAAGCUCACCGAAUUUAACAAAAUACAAGCGGCGAGACUUAAGUUGAAAGAAAAAGAAAUGCAAGAAGCGGCCGAUCGUGAACACUUUAAGCUAAUGGCGACAAGCAUCGACUCGCUCCUGGAAAAAGAUAAAAAAGUGUAGCAAAAAAUGAAGACGAAAAUUGCUCAAAAAUGGGGUCUAUAAAUUAUGUCGUUAUUGUUUUAUAUUUUCUAAUUUUAGUCUUUAGUUUUUGUAGUUAUCGUUUUUUUAUAUUUUCUAGUUGUAAUGAAUUUGAUUCAUUUUUAUCAUUUAUGGAUUAAAUUACUUUUGUAUCUCUCAUGUAAUUUGGGCUAA
rnacentral:lncRNA from 1 species